CCCGUUGGAUUCCUGCUUUGAUUGUGCAGGCACAGGUGCUGGGGCUGUGCCAGGCGCGUGGAGCGAGCGGAGGUGGCAGAGGGAUUGCUGCCAUGCUUCCAAAAUGCCCGUGCUGGGCACUGCUAGGAAGCUCACCUUUCACGUGGCAGCCCCAGGAAUAACUCGGAGCCUUUGGAUGAUCACAGCUGCCUGGAACCCCAAGGGGAAAAAUCAGUGUCCUGGGAUAACCCUCAGUGCCAGGCUGGCUGACCUCAUGGGAAACCCAUUUUCUGGGGCAACAAAGACCUAUUAAAACAUAUGGAUUGGGAACUUAUUUUGGGAUGGGUAGUGCAGCUUGGUCAAGCUCCUGAACUUGUGGAGAAGGGACCUGAGAGGGGCUGUGUGCCUUUGGGGGCACAACAUCUGUCAGGCUUGUUUCCUCUCCAGCCACAGCACAGCAGGGGACACGGUGCUGGACAUUGUCACUACCCAGCACAGUGACACGGCAGAGCCCCAGGAGAGAGCCGUGCUCGAGGCAGGGUGUCCUGCUCCGUGCUGGGGGCUCAGCUGGCCCUGGACCCCCACAUUCCCCAUUGUGCCAAGAAGGAUGCUCAGGAGAAGCAGCUCCAGCUGGCUGGAGACAGGCAAAGGAACCCUUUCUGGGGCAGGUAAGGGGUUCUUUGCUGAGGGACAGCACUGGGACAUCACAGCCACAGGAACCCAGUGCCCUCUGCAAGCUGCACCUUGUCCAGCAAAGGUGUGGUGAGUGGUGAGCCCUGGCAACUCCACCACUUGCCUGUGAAAGGAAGGCCUUUUAUCCCCCCAAAAAACACAGCUCCCAACGGCCAAGCAGUCCCCAGUUAGCCCCUGGCUAUACCCCCAAGGUCUGAGAUGCUAAGAAUACAUUUUGGAGAGCUACAAAUAACCAGGAGGAUGAAUUGACCCUUCCUUACGGCCCCACCACCAUAGAAACAGGAGCCAAACAAACAGGCACGAGCCAGCCCUGUUAGCAGAGCAAAGGCAUGUGCUUUGUUAGUCUAUCCCCUGCUUCCCUUGUUAAUUGCUUUGUUCCUUCUCAGAUUAAUUGAUGAAUUGCUGUGUGGACAUGCAAUGCCUGGCCUUGCAGCCACGUGGUGUGUGUAACCCUUUGGCCUCUGUGGAUAUGUGGGCACACACAGCAUGGGGACAUCCUCCCCUUCCUUGUGUGCCCAGCUGGAGUUGAGCAGCUCCUGCCUGAGGAACUUGGAAAGGUGUUCAUGUUGCAGGUUUGACUGUGAGCAGAAAUAAAGGUCAAAUAGUGAAAUUAAAACUGUGAUGUCAGUCCCGGCUUUCCACCCAGCAGUUUUUGUGCCUUCCCGGAGGAAAGUACUCUGGAAAGAACUGGUUUCCUACCCUGCACCGUGGCAUCAGCUUGGACCUGGCUCCAUCCCUCCCUUCCCUGCCCACCAGCCCGACGGGCUCCUCCCAGAGCAGCCCCGAUGUUCCUGAUCACCCAGGUUCGGCCGCGCUAGUCAGAAAAGUCCCCGGAGGCCAGAGGUGGUGCAAUAACACCUAAAAAUACCCGAGCAGCCCCGGUUUCCGUCAUCCUCCAGAGGCAUCUGUGUAUUGUGUGUGCGGGGAGAGCAGGACGGGGAGAAACCGGCCAUAAAUCCUGCCGGGCUCCUCUCUCGGCUGCUCCCUCUCCCUCCCACCGACGGCGGCCGUCCCGGGGCUGUCUGGCAGGCGCGAUUCCCGGCUGUCAUCGGCGGAUCAGACGGCGCUGAAAUUCGACAGGCCUGUGGAAAAACACGGGGUGACAUCACGCAGAGACACCAUCCCACUGAUUAAUCUCCGCGAGACCCACCUGGGAGCCUGCUUGCCAGAAGGAGAAAUGGCACAAGAGGAAAUACAUCUUCACAGCCUCGAGAGAGGAGAAGGUUGGAAUCCGAGUCCAUAAACAGCAUUACUGUGCACUGAGCAAAGGCAGAGCAGGUUGGGCUCUGGAGAGUGUAACCCCACCUCUGCUGCUCCAAUGCCAAUUAAAAAUAAAACAGAGGA